AUGGUUUGAUAGGGUUGGUAGGUUGUGGUUGGUUGGAUGGUAAUAGUAGGUUUGUUUGUUGUUUGGAUAUUGUUGGUUACAGCAAACCAACAAUAUCCAACCAACCUACCAACCCCAUCAAACCAUC
rnacentral:pre_miRNA from 1 species